AACGAACGCUGGCGGCAGGCUUAACACAUGCAAGUCGAGCGCCCCGCAAGGGGAGCGGCAGACGGGUGAGUAACGCGUGGGAAUCUACCGUGCCCUACGGAAUAGCUCCGGGAAACUGGAAUUAAUACCGUAUACGCCCUACGGGGGAAAGAUUUAUCGGGGUAUGAUGAGCCCGCGUUGGAUUAGCUAGUUGGUGGGGUAAAGGCCUACCAAGGCGACGAUCCAUAGCUGGUCUGAGAGGAUGAUCAGCCACAUUGGGACUGAGACACGGCCCAAACUCCUACGGGAGGCAGCAGUGGGGAAUAUUGGACAAUGGGCGCAAGCCUGAUCCAGCCAUGCCGCGUGAGUGAUGAAGGUCUUAGAAUUGUAAAGCUCUUUCACCGGUGAGGAUAAUGACGGUAACCGGAGAAGAAGCCCCGGCUAACUUCGUGCCAGCCGCCGCCGUAAUAC
rnacentral:rRNA from 1 species